AGAGGCUGAGUUUGCCCAGCCGCUCUGCUAAUGAUGUGAAGCCUAAGUAAACAGCAAGUUAAUGGACUUCCCAGAUCUGUGAAAUUCAGCAGCUGCUGCAAACAGCGUAUCUGAGAUUUUGGACUUCCCAUCACAAAGCAAAUCCAGUCUGAGUUAUCCAUUGAAAUGAGAGUCACCUGCUGAGGCAAGGAAGUAGAGAUCAACCUGGCCUCAGGAGCUGGAGAGGGGACUUUGAUGCCUGCCACCUGAGGUCCUUGUCCCACCUCUUGGAAGGAGCCAUUGAAUGUCAUAUGCUUGGAACAGGCUGGAACUGAAGAUGGGGAGAAGAGGACUGUCCCA